rnacentral:rRNA from 1 species
UACGUAGGGGGCUAGCGUUGUCCGGAUUUAUUGGGCGUAAAGAGCUCGUAGGCGGUGUGUCACGUCGGCCGUGAAAACCUGCAGCUUAACUGUGGGCGUGCGGUCGAUACGGGCAUCACUGGAGUUCGGCAGGGGAGACUGGAAUUCCUGGUGUAGCGGUGAAAUGCGCAGAUAUCAGGAGGAACACCGGUGGCGAAGGCGGGUCUCUGGGCCGAUACUGACGCUGAGGAGCGAAAGCGUGGGGAGCAAACAGG